AGAGCUCGAGAGUCUCACGAGGGUGGAAGCUGUGGAGAUGACAGGAAACAGCAUCACCUAACUGCAUCAGAAUGAGCCCUGCCUGUGGAACAGGCAUUUUCAGAAGAGAAUCCCAGAGUCAGCAACGCAGACCCGGCGGAGGGGACAGAGCUGCUGCGUGCAGGACAGAAGCUCCAGGGAGGCACAGAAACCGUGGUGACGUCAAUGAGCAGCUGAAAUCAGCCUCGACAUCAGCAAAAGUCCACAUUCCUAGGUCUUGUCUGUGUGAUCCUCUGAAGCUUAUCACUCACCCCACCCUCCUUUGAUGUUAAUUCCUUUAGGAAUGAGGGUGGGAAAGGCUAAUGUUUGUGGUUGAAGGGUGGAAACCAGUCCGUUUAAUUUAAAUACGAUGGCUUAUUGCGUGAGCCAGGGUACAGUAACUGGCAACUCUGAAGUCAUCAUCAUCAUCUUCACCAACAUCACCGCCCUUUAAAAAGCAACUCCUAUGGGCACGGCUUAAGAAAUACGGCACACUAACAUUAAUUUUCAUUAGUUUAUAAGUGAGGAAAUGACAACUCCGAGAGGUUGAGUAACCUGAGAAAGAUCAUAGGAAGAAAGAAAAUCUAAGUUUGAACUCCUCAGCCAUUAAUGCAUACAUAACUGGUAAAUGUAAAUUCUGGUUCAACAGGUCUGCAACAAGGUUCCCAUCUAUGCCCGCGCCUGGAUGUCCGCUGACCCACUUUCAAAAGGAGCAAAGUAUUGUAAAGCAUUUGAACGUGCAACUUGACACCUCAUACUCUGAAACAGCGAAAUUACAUGUUUGUUCCAGGCUGGAGGUGUAGCUCAGGGAUGUUCAGGGCUCUGGGUUUGACCGUCAGCACUACUAAAAAUUAAAAAGUCACAAGAAAUAAAGAAGUCUAUUCUGACCAUAUGCAGGGCCUUAUAGGGUUAUGCUGUCUUACAGACAAGCCAUGUGAAAUUUUAAAGUGCUUGAAAUACACAAAACCCCAGGUCAUCUCUUGAAAAAAACAAACAGAGAUAAUGCUGGGAGACUAUUAGAAGCUCAUCCCUGUACUUCCGUAGCUGAAAAUUAGCUGCUGUCCAUUUUUAAAAUCCAUGCAAGUGUCACCAACUCCUUGUAAUAAACUAUACCUACAAAUGA